UGCCAGGCUCCUACGGGAGGCAGCAGUGGGGAAUAUUGCACAAUGGGGGGAAACCCUGAUGCAGCAACGCCGCGUGAGUGAAGAAGUAUUUCGGUCUGUAAAGCUCUAUCAGCAGGGAAGAAGAUGACGGUACCUGAUUAAGAAGCCCCGGCUAACUACGUGCCAGCAGCCGCGGUAAUACGUAGGGGGCAAGCGUUAUCCGGAUUUACUGGGUGUAAAGGGAGCGCAGACGGCAGUGCAAGUCUGGAGCGAAAGCCCGGGGCCCAACCCCGGAACUGCUCUGGAAACUGUGCGGCUAGAGUACUGGAGGGGCAGGCGGAAUUCCUAGUGUAGCGGUGAAAUGCGUAGAUAUUAGGAGGAACACCAGUGGCGAAGGCGGCCUGCUGGACAGUAACUGACGUUGAGGCUCGAAAGCGUGGGGAGCAAACAGGAUUAGAUCCCCCGGUA
rnacentral:rRNA from 1 species